rnacentral:rRNA from 1 species
ACUUUCAGCAACGGAUCUCUUGGCUCUCGCAUCGAUGAAGAACGCAGCGAAUUGCGAUAAGUAAUGUGAAUUGCAGAUUUUCAGUGAAUCAUCGAAUCUUUGAACGCACCUUGCGCUCCUUGGUAUUCCGAGGAGCAUGCCUGUUUGAGUGUC